AGUGAACGCUGGCGGCAGGCCUAACACAUGCAAGUCGAACGGCAGCACAGGAGAGCUUGCUCUCUGGGUGGCGAGUGGCGGACGGGUGAGGAAUACAUCGGAAUCUACCUUGUCGUGGGGGAUAACGUAGGGAAACUUACGCUAAUACCGCAUACGACCUACGGGUGAAAGCAGGGGACCUUCGGGCCUUGCGCGAUUAGAUGAGCCGAUGUCCGAUUAGCUAGUUGGCGGGGUAAAGGCCCACCAAGGCGACGAUCGGUAGCUGGUCUGAGAGGAUGAUCAGCCACACUGGAACUGAGACACGGUCCAGACGCCUACGGGAGGCAGCAGUGGGGAAUAUUGGACAAUGGGCGCAAGCCUGAUCCAGCCAUGCCGCGUGGGUGAAGAAGGCCUUCGGGUUGUAAAGCCCUUUUGUUGGGAAAGAAAAGCAAUCGGUUAAUACCCGGUUGUUCUGACGGUACCCAAAGAAUAAGCACCGGCUAACUUCGUGCCAGCCGCCGCAGUAAAAC
rnacentral:rRNA from 1 species